rnacentral:rRNA from 1 species
ACUGGAAUGAAUGGCUAAAUGAGGAUUAAACUGUCUCUUACGGGUUGUCAAUGAAAUUGAUUUUCUAGUACAAAAGCUGGAAUAAACACAUAAGACGAGAAGACCCUGUGGAGCUUCUAAACCAAGUUCAUCAAACAAUGCUUCCUUGUGUUUUUAGUUGGGGCGACUUUGGAGUACAAAAAACCCUCCAAAACAUGUUAAACCAAUAAUAUUAAGAACAACAAACCAAAACUACAAAAGACCCAGCAACAACCUAAUGUUGUCUGACCAAUGAACCAAGUUACCCCAGGGAUAACAGCGCCAUCCCCUUCUAGAGUCCUUAUCGACAGGGGGGUUUACGACCUCGAUGUUGGAUCAGGACACCCCAAUGGUGCAGCCGCCAUUAAAG